AAUCCUAUCGAUUUCAAUCUUUUUGUUUGAAGUCGGAUGUGGAUGUUGUCGCAGUUAAUGCGACUCGUCCUAAAUGCAUUAGCGAUCUGCCUCGAUCACGCUCAAUGUGAUAAGAAAAAGCAUUGUUGAGAUUGAGUCUGGGUUGCUGCCAACCGUCCAAAACUGGACAAAGCAUAUUCAUGUC
rnacentral:misc_RNA from 1 species